AAGUAUUAAAGGUAACGCCUGCCCAGUGAAACAUUAAACGGCCGCGGUAUCCUAACCGUGCAAAGGUAGCGUAAUCACUUGUCCCCUAAAUAGGGACCAGUAUGAACGGCCCAAUGAGGAUUAACCUGUCUCUUUAAGCUUGCCAGUGAAACUGAUCUACCAGUACAAAAGCUGGUAUACUACCAUAAGACGAGAAGACCCUGUGGAGCUUCAAAUCCAAGUCCAAAACAAACUUUUUCCCCCCCCUCCCCCAUGGACUAAAGAUUUUCAGUUGGGGCGACUUCGGAGUAAAUAAAACCUCCGAGCAUAAGAUUUCUUCUCACCAAGAUAUACCAAUCUAAGCAAAUAUUGACCCGGCCUUGCCGACAAACGAACCAAGUUACCCCAGGGAUAACAGCGCAAUCUUCUUCAAGAGCCCAUAUCGACAAGAAGGUUUACGACCUCGAUGUUGGAUCAGGACACCCAAAUGGUGCAGCCGCUAUUAAAGGUUCGUUUGUUCAACGAUUAACAGUCCUACGUGAUCUGAGUUCAGACCGGAGC
rnacentral:rRNA from 1 species